GCGCUGAGCCCCAUUAGCCUGGCUACCACACCCGGUGUGCACAUUUCACUGCUUUUGUUGUCUUGGCCAGGAGGUGGCAAGCGAGUGGUAACUUCAUUUGGAUAGUAUGGAGCAUCAAGCUGAAGGAAAAUAGUACAAGCAACAACAGCUCGAGAAAGAACUAUGGCUUAUGGCCAAAUGCUAGAGAACAAAAAGGAGAAGACUACUGUGGCAGCAGCACUCCAACUCUUGCUCAAGACAUGACUAAUGCAUGCCAUUAUUCCUCUUCCUACACAUAGAACCGGAAUGGAUCAACACUCAUCCUGAAUGUUCUUGUAUCUACUCCUGUUUGUGAACUCUUCUAAAAAAUGAAAUGCUAUAAUAAACCUUGAGAAGAAAAUAUUUGGGGAUGAAUCUAGAGCAAGUGGGCGAUGACUGGAUGAGCCAAAUGGUGGAGUUGGAGACUGGGGAGGAGGGGGUCCGGGAGAAAAAGAGAGGGGCUUUUGGGUGGCAAUCGGAGAGGAAGAGACAUCUCAAGCUGCUUUUGUUUCUUUUUUUUUUAUGUGUAUGUCAUGGGUAGCUGGCUGGCUGGCUGUGCCAGGUUUUCUCGGCUUUCUUUGCUGAUCUCUCCUUUUUUGUUUGCUUCCUUGGCCGUCUAGCUGUACUUUUAGGGUUCUUCUUGGAGUUUGCACUUUGGAGUUUGGACUGGUCUAAUCGGAAGUGAUUAGUAUUAGUACUCCUGUAAAAAAAAGAUAAUGUAAAUUUUAGAGACGAACCUAGAUAAUUUAUCUUUA